rnacentral:rRNA from 1 species
ACGUAGGGUGCAAGCGUUAAUCGGAAUUACUGGGCGUAAAGCGUGCGCAGGCGGCUUGCUAAGACAGGUGUGAAAGCCCCGGGCUUAACCUGGGAAUUGCGCUUGUGACUGGCAGGCUGGAGUGUGGCAGAGGGAGGUGGAAUUCCACGUGUAGCAGUGAAAUGCGUAGAGAUGUGGAGGAACACCGAUGGCGAAGGCAGCCUCCUGGGCCAGCACUGACGCUCAUGCACGAAAGCGUGGGGAGCAAACAGGA